CUAGCUUAAGCAAUAAAGUCCCCUAUGGUUCUUCUUGGAGGUGGUCCUGUACCAUCCAUCCCGUUCACUAAAGAAGUAUCAAGAAGAUCAAAGGGUUGAUUGUUGAAAGAGGUUGAAGAUUUAGGGGCAGCUUGUUGACUAAUAGCUCAUCGUCUCCUUGUGUUACUACUAUUUCUACGAGUUGUUUUCUCAAUCUCAGGAUCAACAAGGAGUGGUUCAGAUGACAUAGUCCUC
rnacentral:lncRNA from 1 species